AUUGAACGCUGGCGGCAUGCUUUACACAUGCAAGUCGGACGGCAGCACAGAGAAGCUUGCUUCUUGGGUGGCGAGUGGCGAACGGGUGAGUAAUAUAUCGGAACGUACCGAGUAAUGGGGGAUAACUAAUCGAAAGAUUAGCUAAUACCGCAUAUUCUCUGAGGAGGAAAGCAGGGGACCUUCGGGCCUUGCGUUAUUCGAGCGGCCGAUAUCUGAUUAGCUAGUUGGUGGGGUAAAGGCCUACCAAGGCGACGAUCAGUAGCGGGUCUGAGAGGAUGAUCCGCCACACUGGGACUGAGACACGGCCCAGACUCCUACGGGAGGCAGCAGUGGGGAAUUUUGGACAAUGGGCGCAAGCCUGAUCCAGCAAUGCCGCGUGUCUGAAGAAGGCCUUCGGGUUGUAAAGGACUUUUGUCAGGGAAGAAAAGGCUGUUGCUAAUAUCAAUAGCUGAUGACGGUACCUGAAGAAUAAGCACCGGCUAACUACGUG
rnacentral:rRNA from 1 species